rnacentral:rRNA from 1 species
AGAGUUUGAUUAUGGCUCAGGAUGAACGCUAGCUACAGGCUUAACACAUGCAAGUCGAGGGGCAGCAUUGGAGUAGCAAUACUUCAGAUGGCGACCGGCGCACGGGUGAGUAACACGUAUCCAACCUGCCGCUUACUCGGGGAUAGCCUUUCGAAAGAAAGAUUAAUACCCGAUGGUAUAAAGAGUUCGCAUGUUCUCUUUAUUAAAGAAUUUCGGUAAGCGAUGGGGAUGCGUUCCAUUAGAUAGUUGGCGGGGUAACGGCCCACCAAGUCUACGAUGGAUAGGGGUUCUGAGAGGAAGGUCCCCCACAUUGGAACUGAGACACGGUCCAAACUCCUACGGGAGGCAGCAGUGGGGAAUAUUGGUCAAUGGACGAGAGUCUGAACCAGCCAAAGUAGCGUGAAGGAUGACUGCCCUAUGGGUUGUAAACUUCUUUUAUAAGGGAAUAAAGUGAGGGACGUGUCCCUUUUUGUAUGUACCUUAUGAAUAAGGAUCGGCUAACUCCGUGCCAGCCGCGGC